AAUCCAUGCAUAGGACAUUUCCUAAGCAAAUCUUUGAACCUUUCAAAUGCUUCAUACAGUGUUUCAUCCUGUAGUUGCAUGAAGGAUGUAAUGCCAUGUCUCAAUUU
rfam:Gossypium raimondii Chr13_contig_482, whole genome shotgun sequence.